CCAGUCAAAUUGUGUCAGUAGAGAGCCUCUUAUCAUUUUGCUUUCUUGUACAGUAUGCUUUUCUUGUAUGCAGAGUUUUGUUCUUUUAGUGAAGUUUCCUACUCUGAGUCACAUGAUGCCAGAUAGGCUUUUGUGUGAAUUGUCUGAGGAGAAAUGUCAUACUGUCUCACUUCCUGGGCUUCCCCCCCACAAAUUCUUUUUCCAUUACCAUUUCUUUUGAACUUGUGAAUUUUCAGCACUGCACUUCUCACGCAGGCACGUUGUUCAUUUCAUCGGCAGAUUUAGCUCUGUCCUGAACCCCUGGCUUACCUGGCAGCAAGUCAGUGUGCAAAGUCCAAAGUUCAAAGUCUUGGGGUCAAUCCACACAGGCAAAGUCCAAAGGUCAGGAAACGCAGUCCAGGAUCAAUCCAGAUAGCCAAGUCUGAAGUCCAGCAGACACAGUACCUGGGCUUGAUGAGGCAUAUGACUCUCACCUGUUCCAAGCCUACUCCAGCUGAGGAAUCACACCUCUCCUCCCAGACCUAGCAAACCUCACCUGGCCAUCUAGUGAGCAGGGUUGUGGGCCCUGGCCUUCCUCAGCCUCCUAGAGUGCCUCUCCUGCUGCUCCCUACGCCUCAGAACCUGCCAUGUUCAUGGAGACAGGGGCCCCUCGGGCUCUGGUGUAAGAAAAACACUGGGGCCUAAUUUGACCAGUACAGUCAAACCUCAGUUUUUGAACAUCCCGGCUGCUGAACGUUUUGGAAGCUGAACGCCAAAAAACAGGAAUUGAAUAUGUUAUGUACUGAGUUGAAUAGGAUCCAAAAAGCAGAAGUCUGAUUGGUCCUAGAACAAAAGGAUUCAGAAUGCAGCAGUCUGAUUGGUUCUAGAACAAUGCAGCAAUAUGAUUGGUCCACAGGAGCCACCCAAUCCAGCUCCAGAUGGAGGUGAAUCCGCAGCCUGAUUGGACUACAGGGGAAUCCCAGAAUUAGCCAAUCGUGUGCGACCCAUUGUGUAAAUAAUGUAUAUAAAGCAGAUAUUUUGGGGGAACUUUCAUUCCUCACUACUAUGAGCUGAAUAAAGAGCAUGAAAUCCACACUCGACUCCGAGUAUAUUUCAGAAUGCUUCCGUUUUCAAACGUUCAUCAGAAGCCGAACGGCUUCUGAGGCGCGUUUCUCCAUUUUUCUCAAUAGAACUUGCUGACAGUCCUUUGAUCCUCGGUUUUCGAAAGUCAAACGGGCUUCCGGAACGGAUUAUGUUCAAAAACUGAGGUUCCACUGUAGAAUGUUUGGUGGGCGGGGCUUGUGUGUUAUGCUCUGGAAUCAGCCCCUCCCUUCUGUGUUCUGUUAAGUUUCAGUUAAGAGGGACCAACUGCCUCUUUUCAUUUCUUUCCUCAUGUUGUUGUCUUUAGUUUCUCGCACUAUGUUAUUUUGUUACUGUUUUCUUUAUUAUUAAAGCUUAGUUUACUUAUUUCUCUCAAAGAAAUCUGUUGAGAAAGGUGUGGGAUGUCCUAAACUGCGGGAGUGAGGGGAUAUUCCCAGUUUGCCAGGAGAAUUUAUUUUGUUAAUCAUCUCCCCAUCUCCACAACAGAUGGGUCCUGCUGCUCUGGUUCCUGUGCCUUGACCCCCAACCUCUGUUACCCUGUGAGUACUUCCUACACCAAAUUCUCCAUCCCCAGUCCCAGCUACACCCCUCACCAGAAUCCUCCUCCCCAUCAUCCUGCCAGUUCAUGACAAGCAGCAGCUGAACUUGACUGCCUUGUGAUUCCAUUUCGAGGAAAGACCGGAAAAGAAACUUUCAUUCACAUUUGUUAUUGGAAUGCCUAUAGUCAAUUUUGUGUAACUGCAGAUUCAUUGUUUCAGAAAAAUAAAUUAAGGGGCUUAACCUAGGGUGGUCACAUUUAAUAAUUACUUUGAAGAGUGGAUUUCAGCAAGUGUAGCUUGUGUGAAGAGUGCAUGC